GCGGGUGUCGUUCAAUGGUAGGACUUUUGCUUCCCAAGCAAAUAACGUGGGUUCGAUCCCCAUCACCCGCUCCA
rnacentral:tRNA from 1 species